rnacentral:rRNA from 1 species
AACUAACAAGGAUUCCCUUAGUAAUGGCGAAUGAACAGGGAAAAGCCCAAAUUUAAAAUCACUUCAAGUGAAUUGUAGUUUAAAGAAUUUAAGGUCCAGCAGCAACCACUGUUCAAGUGCUCUGGAAUGAACCAUCAUAGAGGGUGAAAUUCCCGUACUCAACAGAUAGGAAGCUGUCAAAAACUUUUAUUCAAAGAGUCGUGUUGCUUGUUAAUGCAGCAUUAAUUGGGAGGUAAAUUCCUUCUAAGGCUAAAUAUUAGAGUGAGACCGAUAGCAAACAAGUACCGUGAGGGAAAGAUGAAAGAGAACCCUGAAAAGGGGACUCAAAAGAAUGUGAAAUUGUCAAAAGGUAAGCGCUAAGAACUGUCCAAAGUUUAAAUGUUAAUGAUGAGGGUUACCUUGUCUGAAUUAGCAUUUAAAUGGCUACAACUUUUGUUUUAACCUUUGAAACCAUUGGGAUGGGGAUUGUAGGCUACGGUUUUACCUUUCUCUGAACUUUUUCUUCAAGAGUUGAAGCAGGAUAAAAGAAAGUCUCGAGCCAUGCCAAACAUUGGRGAACUUUGCUUCAUAGACUUGUCUAGAAAGUUUUAGGAACCAUGUUUGUUAUAUCAUGAGCACUUUGUAGUUUGGAGGUUCUAAGCGUCCCGUCUUGAAACACGGACCAAGGAGUCUAACAUUGAUGCAAGUAUAUGGGCAUUCAAUCCCAAAUGCGGAAUGAAAGUAAUUUCGGGUAGGAUCCAGUAAAACGGUGCACUAUCAACCGAACCCUUAUGGACUCGUUCAUAGGAUUUGAGUAAGA